rnacentral:lncRNA from 1 species
GGAUUUCUCAAGUGCCGUGCUCAUACCUGGAUUUUCUCUGUAGACUGCUUUUACGGAGAAAGAGUCGAGGAAGAAGAGGCUUGUGACGGAAGAGGAGUAGGAAGAGAUAACGCAUAUUUUAUUCUUGAAAAAUUAAGCGAAUUCCUUUAUCUUUCUAGAUACACACAAAAAGUAAUUAAUCGCGUUUAAAAUCCUUCGGGAAGAUAAAUAUCCCCAAACGUUAAAUUCUACUUAUUCCUUCCUUACCUUUGCUUCGCAAAAAUCAAACUAAUUAAUUCUUAAAUAAUAAUGUCAUUUGAGUCAAUACACAUACUUCCACGUGUUGCAGUAGAAACAACAAUGGUUUGUAUCCGAACCACGUUGCCCUCGGAUAGGAUCCACUUUUGUUUAUAUUCGAUGAUUUUUUGUGUUCUCUUCGGAACUGACACCUUAGAUUGGCAAUUUUUUUUUCCACUUCGCUGAUGCUAAUUUCGUAUUUACUCGAUAAAUGCUCUAUCGCGUCACUUUUUGCCUUUCGAUCUCUAUACUGUUCACUCUUUAUAUUCGAUAAACACUCGUUUAACUGCAGAUCCUUGAUAAACGAUAGAACCUUUUUAUUCGUCCACAUGAUAAACUGCGUCCACAGAUAUUUCGUGAAAUGGUGGACUGUUUGCCUAGAUACUACGUGCAAUUGGUGGACUGUUUCCGUAUAUACUGAGUGCACAUGGUAAACUCUUUUCACAGGUAGUCGAUUCCCUUGCCCUGUACUUCCAUCAUAAACAAACCAUCGUUUCAGUGACUGUGUACCGUUUACGAAUUAUACCGCCCCUGUAUUUUGUUCGUGCACGCAUGUUCGCAGAAACUUCACGGCUAAGUUUGCCACAUUGAUGGGCGAUGAUUGUCCGCAGACGCGUAUCGCAGCCAAUCAGCGUCUGUCUAUCAAUGGAUUUUCUACGAACAAUAGAUGCCGAUUGGCCGAGACACGUGCCUGCAGUUAAUUUUCUACCGAUGUAGACUUAGGUUAAGGUUAAGCUACGAAUCUCGUCUAGGCUUAAGCCUAGUCCUGAUGGACAAACAAUAUUUUAUCCCUAACCCGCAUACAUUGAUCGCGGACAAAAGUAUGUGUACGCGUGUAUGUACAUCGUCUUGGCUGUCAGGCUGCGAUGUACGUAGACCGUCUACGGACAAUGUAUGUUAGUCUAAACUGGACUUUAUGAAUAAUUGCUUGCAGAAUCCUUAUAAACUGUUUACAGACUGUAUCGAUCUGUGGAUAAAACUCACGUCCAGACUUGCGAUAAAGUACCGUUGCUGUUUUUAACGUCGAAUUUCCAACGUAAUAUAUAUUCCGUUGUUUUAACAAAAUAGUGGUAUCCUUUGCUCAAGAGUAAUGAUUUUCCGCGACUCAUAUCUCGAUAUAUUCCAAUCUAUGUAUAUUAGAACAUGUAUAUUCAGUCGUAAUAUAUAUUCUGUUGCUUUCAAAAAUAGUGGUAUCCUUUGUACGAGAAUAAUGAUUAUUCCAUGAGUCAUAUUUCUCAAUGAGUAUAUACCUAUAUGUGUAUUAGUAAAUGUAUAUAUUGUACGCAUAUGUAAGUAUACAUCCGUGGAAAAAUAUCCAUUCUGUUGAUGCAUGCGACAUAAGAAUAUAAGAAUUAUGUAAAAAAGUAUAGAGGGAGAAUGGAAGUAAUAAGAAAAUAUAAAAAUACCGACACAUUAGGAUAAGAUCUUUUAUUUUCGAAAUUUGCAAUACGAUUAAUCCCGUUCUUAAUCAAUUCAAACUUUGAAUCGUAUUGAAUUCCGUAAGUACAAUUAAUUCUAAUUACGUACGAAACAUUCAACAAUAUUAUUCUCUUCUUAAAAACUAAUCAGUCAUACUCCGUAUACUCCUAAAAGUACUUCAGUCGUUACAGUCAUGCAAAUCAACGUAAACGCCGAGCAGAGUUUCAUUAAAAUUCAUUUUCGAUAACAGUAAGCAUAAUUAGGAGAAAAAAAAUUUGCGAGCAAAUUCGAAGAACGCGAGAGAUUUGAAAUGGCAGGCAAUCGUUAUAAAUAUUAAGUGCUAUGCGUAUAAUCUUUUCAUAUAACAUCGAUAUUCAACAGUACCGGUGUUAUCGGCUUGAGCG